CUUAAGUGGUUCUGGCUUCUUUUAGCCGGAAUGCAUAGGUCCGGGGGCUGGUGGAGAGACAGCCCUGGCAGUCACACUGGAGGGUGCACUUCCAGGAACGUCUGCUCUCCAAGCCCAGACCUUUGGCCUCUGCAGAUCUGCAAUCUUGGCAUCCAGGGAAGGUGCCGUCUGCUGAGGAGCUGCGACUUAGUGUGCAGGUGUGACGUCGCAUACCCCUGCUGUGCGCAUCUAGCCCCUCCAGCAGCCCACGCUCUCCUGGUGUGACUGCAACGUGAAGAAGCCACUUGAUGGGAAGACCCAGCCAACCCAGUGGGAAGGGGAAGGACGAAACUGUGGGUCUGAACUGGGAAUGCUGCUGGCCGGCCGCAGCCGCGCUCCCCAGCCGGGCGGGGAAGGCAGGCUGCCUUUGGAGAUGGGAAGCCAAGAGUUAAUGGUUGGAGCACACACGUGCGACUCUCCCGUGCUGCUCAUGGCCGCUCUGUGCAGCACGAAAUGAGGGUGAGGAGACAAUGUAGUGGAGUGGCCACCGAGGAGUCACCUUUGGGAGCGUGGACACCCGGCCCAGACGGAGCACCCGCCCCUGGGCGUCCCUCUGGCUACCCAGCCUCACCAUGUCCAAGAAGGGCGCGGGCAGCCGGGCCAAGGGGGACAAGGCGGAGGCGUUCGCUGCACUGCAGGCCGCCAACGAGGAGCUCCGCGCCAAGCUCACCGACAUCCAGAUCGAGCUGCAGCAGGAGAAGAGCAAGGUCAGCAGAGUGGAGCGGGAGAAGAGCCAGGAGCUGCGGCAGGUGCGUGAGCACGAGCAGCGCAAGCACGCGGUGCUGGUCACGGAGCUGAAGACCAAGCUGCACGAGGAGAAGAUGAAGGAGCUGCAGGCCGUGCGCGAGGCGCUGCUGCGGCAGCACGAGGCCGAGCUGCUGCGGGUCAUCAAGAUCAAGGACAACGAGAACCAGCGGCUGCAGGCACUGCUCAACGCCCUGCGCGACGGCGCCCCCGACAAGGCCAAGACGGUGCUGCUGUGCGAGGCCAAGGAGGAGGCCAGGAAGGGCUUCGAGGUGGAGAAGGUCAAGAUGCAGCAGGAGAUCUCGGAGCUCAGGGGGGCCAAGAGGCAGGUGGAGGAGGCGCUGACGCUGGUGACGCAGGCGGACAAGAUCAAGGCCGCCGAGAUCAGGAGCGUGUACCACCUGCACCAGGAGGAGAUCAGCCGCAUCAAGAAGGAGUGCGAGCGGGAGAUCCGCAGGCUGAUGGAGGAGAUAAAAUUUAAAGACAGAGCAGUCUUCGUGCUGGAGAGAGAGUUAGGGGUCCAAGCCGGGCAUGCCCAGAGACUGCAGCUGCAGAAAGAGGCUCUAGAUGAGCAGCUUUCCCAGGCCAAAGAGGCUGAGCGGCACCCGGGCAGCCCCAGACGGGAACUUCCUUAUGCAAGCGGUGCAGGAGACGCCUCAGACCACUCGGGAAGCCCUGAACAGCAGUUGGAUGAAAAGGAUGCCCGGCGCUUUCAGCUCAAAAUCGCAGAGUUAAGUGCCAUCAUCCGUAAGCUGGAGGAUCGCAACGCCCUGUUGUCGGAGGAGAGGAACGAGCUGUUAAAGCGUUUAAGGGAAGCAGAGAGUCAGUACAAGCCAUUGUUGGAUAAAAACAAACGCCUUACUCGGAAAAAUGAGGACUUGUCUCACACUUUACGGAGAAUAGAAAGCAAGCUGAAAUUCGUCACCCAGGAGAACAUAGAGAUGAGGCAGAGAGCCGGGAUCAUCCGGAGACCCAGCUCCCUAAAUGACCUGGAUCAGAGUCAGGGUGAGAGGGAGGUCGACUUCCUGAAGCUUCAGAUUGUGGAGCAGCAGAACCUCAUUGACGAGCUCUCCAAGACCCUCGAGACUGCUGGCUACGUGAAGAGUGUGCUGGAGCGCGAUAAGCUUUUAAGGUUUCGGAAGCAGAGAAAGAAAAUGGCAAAACUCCCCAAGCCGGUGGUGGUGGAGACCUUCUUUGGGUAUGAUGAAGAAGCGUCCCUGGAGUCCGACGGCUCUUCCAUCUCUUACCAAACUGACAGGACAGACCAGACCCCGUGCACUCCUGACGACGACCUAGAGGAGGGCCUGGCCAAGGAGGAGACGGAGCUGAGGUUCCGGCAGCUGACCAUGGAGUACCAGGCGCUGCAGCGAGCAUACGCCUUGCUGCAGGAGCAGGUCGGAGGGACACUGGACGCAGAGCGAGAAGUUAAGACUCGUGAGCAGCUCCAAGCAGACAUGCAGCGAGCGCAGGCCCGGGUGGAGGACCUGGAGAAGGCGCUGGCCGAGCAGGGCCAGGACAUGAAAUGGAUUGAAGAGAAGCAAGCGCUGUAUCGGAGAAAUCAAGAGCUUGUGGAGAAGAUAAAACAGAUGGAGACCGAGGAAGCCCGGCUGAAGCACGAGGUCCAGGACGCCAAGGACCAGAACGAGCUGCUGGAGUUCCGGAUCCUGGAGCUCGAGGAGAGGGAGAGGAAGUCGCCCGCCAUCAACUUCCACCACACGCCCUUCGUGGAUGGGAAGAGCCCUCUCCAGGUGUACUGCGAGGCGGAAGGCGUGACGGACAUCCUGGUGGCAGAGCUGAUGAAGAAGCUGGACAUCCUGGGGGAUAACGCCGUAAGUAAUCUGACCAAUGAGGAGCAAGUGGUUGUCAUACAAGCCAGGACGGUCCUGACCUUGGCCGAAAAGUGGCUCCAGCGGAUUGAAGAGACAGAGUCAGCACUGCAGCGGAAGAUGGUGGAUCUGGAGAGCGAGAAGGAGCUGUUCAGCAAACAGAAGGGCUACCUGGAUGAGGAGCUGGACUACAGGAAGCAGGCCUUGGACCACGCCCACAAGCACAUCCUGGAGCUGGAGGCCAUGCUGUUCGACGCCCUGCAGCAGGAGGCCGGGGCCAAGGUGGCUGAGCUGCUGUCGGAGGAGGAGCGCGAGAAACUGCAGGUGGCUGUGGAGCAGUGGAAGCGCCAGGUCCUGAGUGAGCUGCGUGAGAGGGACGCACAGAUCCUGCGGGAGCGCAUGGAGCUGCUGCACCUGGCCCAGCAGAGAAUUAAAGAGCUAGAAGAAAGAAUAGAAGCUCAGAAGAGACAGAUCAAGGAGCUGGAGGAAAAGCUUUCAUUCUCUGGUCAUAGCUGGCCUUGGCUCUCUGAUGUGUCCCCCUCAGAGUCGGACCACUGUCCUUCAGCGGGACCAGAGAGUGGUGGGUGCUGGCAGCGAGACAGGACAUUGCAUCUCAUUCCUGAAGACCCAAGAGGGUUGACCUCUGCACAGCUGUCCUGUGGAGGACGAGGGGGAAGGGACACUAAGUGGGGGCCACUGUCUGCUUGGGAUGAGCCAGGAUUAGAACUAGUUUUGCUGCCUGGGGCUUCUCUGGGAGAGGCCUGGCCUUGGCUGCUGGGUCCUGGGGUCCCUCCUCUCAGAGAGCAGUCCCCAUCCUGGUCACAAGGAUGUGUGACAUUCCCUGCCAAGCAGGGGUAAGCCCGCUCCUGCACGGGAGCAAGCCCUGGGCCACCCUCCUCUGGUUCCUGUGGUAAUUGCUAGUGUUCUUGGAGGAAGAUCUUCAGAAACAACACAGGCCUGUCCCCAGGAGAGGGUGAAGCCCCUGGUUUCCUGGUGACCUCAUUCAGGGAGGGCUCAUCAGGGACGACCCUAGGCUCCCGGGCACCUCAGGUGCACACAAGGCCAAUGCUGUGACCCUUGUAGAGGUCCUGAGCACUUGCAGAGGACAGACCCACACCUGCCCUUGUUCUGUUUCAUUGCCAUCUCCGUGGGGACAGAUGAGGGCUGUGGCCACUGCUGAGCCUCCUCACCCCACCCCAAGACAUGAAGGCGGGAAACCCUGAACUGCUGGCCAGGAGCACAGUGGCCCACCAGAGCGGGAUGGAGAGUGUGGGGAGCCAGAAAGGACCCUGCCUCAAGGAAAGCACACAGAAAAACAGCCGAGGACUGUCGCCCAGACACCCAGCCCAGAGAGCCCUCUGCGGGGCCUGAAGGCUGCCAUCCCCACGGGAGCCGAGGCUGCCCCGUCCAAAGCAUCUGCAUGCCAGGAGCAGGCCCAGGGGAGGAGACAGCAGCACCUGGCUUUCUACGGACCUCAGAGAGGAGCCCAGAGUCCAGGGCCUGCAGAGAGAAGACAGCAUGUUGAUGAAGGCAGCUCUAAGUGGUUUCCGGUCCUGCUGUGAUCCCAUCCACAGCCCAGAAGUGCAGCAUGUGGACGAGUUGACUCUCUGGUCGGAGGCAGUCCUGUUGCCAUCCCAUCCAUGGCAGUCCAAGGUCACCAUCUCUAGAGCUGAGAGAAGAGCUGUGUGUGAGGGUACGUGCAUGUGCUCACUCCACCAGAGCAUGGCGCUGGGAUGUGAGCCCUUUGAGCAUCUAGAGGUUGAUGCCCAGGAGUGAGGUACGCAGCCAGGUGUGCAUGCAACAUGCAGCAUUGCAUUAAGAUUCUUUUAAAAGCCACUCGCUGGAGGGAGGAAUGGCCGUGUUGUCUGAAAGCGUUAGGUUCAUUCUGCAUCGAUGUCAGAAGAAGUCUUCCGCUCUGGUGCCGAUGGCCGAGUGCUGGAGGACCAGCCUGGUUCCCUAAGUGGAAACCAGGGAAAGCUUAUCGGAGCAGACAGAUAUGCUUUUUUUUUUGUUUUUUUUUUGUUUUUUUUUGGUGGGUGCAGAAUUUCUGCUGGGAAAAACAAUAUUAACUACACUCAUCCAAAAAGGACCCAUCCUUUCUGUGUCAUUCAAGUCAUAGCUCCUGACUCACUUGGCCAAGGUGCUGGCCCAGUUGGGUGCCUGCCUAGGUGAGCCUGAUGUCAGGGAUUGUCUCCAGUCUGGGAUCUCAUUCAUCCCUCCAGGCGUGGUUUGGUCUCAUUUUAAAGACUGCACCCUCUUGGCACAUUCAUUGUACUCAGAACUGAAUGGCAAACAAUAGCCUGUAUUAAUAAAAGCUGCCACAGAGCCAUGGAUGAGCGUGGGGUUAGGCCUGGAGGACUCCACCAUGCGGGCUUCUACAAACAGGUCACUGCACUUGGCUCCCCCAGCCUGGCCUCCUCUGCAGGAGGAGCACCUGGGGCUGGUCCAGUGUGUACCUGCAAAAGAACACCAGCCGACUAGGAUCUACAGAUGUACUCUCAGACUUGCCCAAAUUCAAAUCCCUCCGGAUUGAUGAGAUCAUCGUGAUUUGCAUGUUGGGUAUAGGUCUAAAGGCUUCGUAAACCCUCCCACCAACCCGGAUGCUCUAAAUCACAGUUCUGUAAUUGUUUUUUAAAGGCUAACUAUACAGGAAGGAAAUGCAUGUAAAUAUGUACAAAUGCUUAUGAAGUUGUUAUUGUCUAUAUGUAAAAGUAUGUACAUAGGAAAGGAAAAUGGCUGCUGAAUGUCUUAAAUAACACCCAUGUACCAAACUGCAGCGGCACCCCUGCCACACGCCUAAAAGCACACACUAGGACUGUCAUUCCUCUCUUUAGAUACCAUUAUUCCCAUUCAUAUGUCAUAGGCACUUUCUCUUCAUCUGAUUACAAAAUCAGAACUGGGCUUUUGCCAAAAAAAAAAGAAAAGGAAGAUAUUAGCAUUUAUCACUGAUUCUGCUGGGCCGAUGAGCGUCUGAAGAGUUCAAGUGUUUUAAAGUAUGGUGCACAUUUUCUAAAUCCCACUUUGUACCUGCUAUUCCAAAUAGUGUGCUGGACUGAACUUCCUUGAGCAUUUGCGCUCUUCCUGGUAGCUCCUCAAACAGGAGAGAUCUGCCUAAGUGGCACUGCCUGAGGAGGCAGGAGGAGAGAUCAUGAAAGGCUGGCAGGAUUGCUGACCAUGUCACCGAGACAGGGACAUCCACAUCACAGUCCAAUAGCAGUUAUCAGCCCAGCGCGCGGUGUGCACAGCAGAGUGAUGUGAGCGAGCGUCUGGUUUACCUAAAAUGGAAAUUCAUGUAGGCUGCAGAUUCCCUGGUGGAGGCCCCCGUGGUGUUGGCCUUGCACCCAUGGUCUAGGCCCCAGUGGCUGAAGGCCUUGGGCUGUGUCUCAAGGCCUUUGCCCUUGCAGAAUCUGUAGCCUUCAGGAAACCUGAGUGCCUUAUGCAGCUUGUAAACACGGACUGGGAGUUGGGGUGGGGAUGUGAGGGUGGCUUUGAGGCUUGGAGAGCUGAUUAGCACUUACCAUCACUCCAUCACUGAAACCUCGAGAUGGGUUGUGUGUUUUAACACAGUAAUGAAUUUAAGUUCAGGCUCAGGAAAAUCAUAUUGUGAAUAUAUGUAUCAAAGCAUAUAUUUGUUUACUGUAUAUUUUUUAAAAAGCUUUAUUGUAAAUUUAUGCAAAAAUGAACAAGACUUGUUUUCUCAUGGCAAAAAGCCAGUUAGUAUUUGUGCUCUCUGAAGCAAUUACUUAAUAACCACAUUCUAAACAUGUGAUUUCUGUUCAGUGCUAAACAAUAUCCACAGGCCUAAACUAGGUUUGUAUGGUGAUCAACUACAAAAUUUUACACAUAUUUUUGUAUUGUGAUUCCUAUGAUAUAUACCAGAGAAUUUUUACUCCUUUGUAAAUUAUUGUACAGUUUUAAUAAAAAUUGUUUUAAAUCUUAGAAUA